ACUAACAUAGUUCGGGUUUCGUGACGAUGCAACCUGUUAGUUAGUAAUGGUUCGUUGUCGACGAAACCUGAAUGGUGUUUGC
rnacentral:pre_miRNA from 1 species